GGGGAUGUAACUCAGUGGCAGAGUGCUUGCUUAGAAUGUAUGGAGGUUUGAGUGCAAUCCUCAGCAUUGCAA
rnacentral:tRNA from 1 species